rnacentral:rRNA from 1 species
AGGCCAGACUCCUACGGGAGGCAGCAGUGGGGAAUAUUGCACAAUGGGGGAAACCCUGAUGCAGCGACGCCGCGUGGGCGACGAAGCGCUCCGGCGCGUAAAGCCCUGUCAGCAGGGAAGAACAAAGACAGUACCUGACCAAGAAGCCCCGGCUAACUACGUGCCAGCAGCCGCGGUAAUACGUAGGGGGCAAGCGUUAUCCGGAUUUACUGGGUGUAAAGGGAGCGUAGAUGGCCAGACAAGUCUGAAGUGAAAAUCCAGCGCUUAACGUUGGAAGUGCUUUGGAAACUGCCGGGCUGGAGUGCAGGAGGGGCAGGCGGAAUUCCUAGUGUAGCGGUGAAAUGCGUAGAUAUCAGGAGGAACACCGGUGGCGAAGGCGGCCUGCUGGACUGCAACUGACGUUGAGGCCCGAAAGCGUGGGGAGCAAACAGGAUUAGAUACCCCAGUA